rnacentral:rRNA from 1 species
GACGAACGCUGGCGGCGUGCUUAACACAUGCAAGUCGAACGGUGAAAGCGGAGCUUGCUCCGCUGGAUCAGUGGCGAACGGGUGAGUAACACGUGGGCAACCUGCCCCUCACUUCGGGAUAACUCCGGGAGACCGGGGCUACUACCGGAUAUGACCUCCUUGGGCAUCCUUGGAGGUGGAAAGUUUUUCGGUGAGGGAUGGGCCCGCGGCCUAUCAGCUUGUUGGUGAGGUAGUGGCUCACCAAGGCGACGACGGGUAGCCGGCCUGAGAGGGCGACCGGCCACACUGGGACUGAGACACGGCCCAGACGCCUACGGGAGGCAGCAGUGGGGAAUAUUGCGCAAUGGGCGAAAGCCUGACGCAGCAACGCCGCGUGCGGGAUGACGGCCUUCGGGUUGUAAACCGCUUUCAGCAGGGAAGAAGCCGCAAGGUGACGGUACCUGCAGAAGAAGCACCGGCUAACUACGUGCCAGCCGCCGCCGUAA